CAGGCCUAACACAUGCAAGUCGAACGAAGGCUUCGGCCUUAGUGGCGCACGGGUGCGUAACGCGUGGGAAUCUGCCCUUGGGUUCGGAAUAACAGCGAGAAAUUGCUGCUAAUACCGGAUGAUGACGUAAGUCCAAAGAUUUAUCGCCCAGGGAUGAGCCCGCGUAGGAUUAGCUAGUUGGUGGGGUAAAGGCCUACCAAGGCGACGAUCCUUAGCUGGUCUGAGAGGAUGAUCAGCCACACUGGGACUGAGACACGGCCCAGACUCCUACGGGAGGCAGCAGUGGGGAAUAUUGGACAAUGGGCGAAAGCCUGAUCCAGCAAUGCCGCGUGAGUGAUGAAGGCCUUAGGGUUGUAAAGCUCUUUUACCCGGGAUGAUAAUGACAGUACCGGGAGAAUAAGCUCCGGCUAACUCCGUGCCAGCAGCCGCGGUAAU
rnacentral:rRNA from 1 species